rnacentral:misc_RNA from 1 species
UUUCCGUAGGUGAACCUGCGGAAGGAUCAUUAUUGAAUUGUUUGUUUGAAUUGGCUUAAAACCCCAAUUCAGCAUCCAUAUCCAUAACACCUGUGCACUGUUGGAUGAACUCGACUCUUGUAGUCUUGCAAGUCCACUUUUACACCAAACAAUAUGUAACAAAUGUAGUCUUAUUAUAACAUAAUAAAACUUUCAACAACGGAUCUCUUGGUUCUCGCAUCGAUGAAGAACGCAGC